CCUCUUGGAAGAACGCCGGAUAAAUGGACAACCUAGAAUGAAUAACCUAGUACUCGAGUUUCGGACUUUCCAGAAUACUUUUGUUAUCGUAAAACUGAAUGAAAGGCUGAAACGCAAAGUCAA